AGACCUACGGGGGGCAGCAGUGGGGAAUAUUGCACAAUGGGGGGAACCCUGAUGCAGCGACGCCGCGUGGGUGAAGAAGUAUUGCGGUAUGUAAAGCGCUAUCAGCAGGGAAGAAAAAUGACGGUACCUGACUAAGAAGCACCGGCUAAAUACGUGCCAGCAGCCGCGGUAAUACGUAUGGUGCAAGCGUUAUCCGGAUUUACUGGGUGUAAAGGGAGCGCAGGCGGCACGCUAAGCCUGAUGUGAAAACCCGCGGCCCAACAGCGGGAGCGCAUUGG
rnacentral:rRNA from 1 species